UACGGGGGGGGCAAGCGUUGUUCGGAAUUACUGGGCGUAAAGGGCUCGUAGGCGGCCAACUAAGUCAGACGUGAAAUCCCUCGGCUUAACCGGGGAACUGCAUCUGAUACUGGAUGGCUUGAGUUCGGGAGAGGGAUGCGGAAUUCCAGGUGUAGCGGUGAAAUGCGUAGAUAUCAGGAGGAACACCGGUGGCGAAGGCGGGUCUCUGGGCCGAAAUUGACGCUGAGGAGCGAAAGCGUGGGGAGCAAACAGG
rnacentral:rRNA from 1 species